UCUGUUUACUAUAAAGUGCUGUUCCAAAAGGGGUAUAAAUCUGUUUACUAUAAAGUGCUGUUCCAAAAGGGGUAUAAAUCUGUUUACUAUAAAGUGCUGUUCCAAAAGGGGUAUAAAUCUGUUUACUAUAAAGUGCUGUUCCAAAAGGGGUAUAAAUCUGUUUACUAUAAAGUGCUGUUCCAAAAGGGGUACAACAAAUUAGUUAUCCGAUGGCUUGUGCUGCACUGUAGCAGAUGGUGGGCAGUGCUUUUGCAGAAACUAUCACAGCCCUCAAUGACUCGGGGACAGAUCUAAUCAGAAUCAGGGACUGACGCAGGAAUAAUCAGUGAUUAGCCUGAGCCAUCUGGGUUUCGGACCGAGGUACUUCGAAGAACUUUAGUGAAAAGGCGUGGGUUGCGCAGUCUUGGUCUGACCUCAGUGGUGCAGUAGCGUAAGUACACGUCACUCACGCAUGCGCGCAGAAUGUAUAAGACAACAGGCGACAUUAAUGGCGGCGGGUGAGGUUAGAACUCAACGCUUGGAAAGCACGGCGGAGUCUCGUAUUUCUGAAACUCGGAGCAGUUACUAAAUCCUGGAUGAUAGUUAUUACGGAUACAACGUCUUCUUUGUAAUAUUCUGGUUGGUCGUUAGUCCAGUUCAAUUGCCAGAACCAUCCCUGGCCAAGUUCCAGUGUACAUGUCAGAGAGUAAAAUGGAAGUUCUACUCUAUCCUAAGAGAGACUAUGAAAUAUCAACAGUUCUGAAAUUGGAGGAAUUUACAUGUAAAGACAUUGCUAGGGUUAUAUUUUAUGAGAUGUGAGAGUAAUUUACACAUUUUGGAUCUGACAACUGAUUUGCUAGUUUCAGAGCUGGGUUUUGGAAGAUCUGUGUCCAUGGACUUUGGGGAGCUAAACAUGUCAAUUUCACAAUGCUGAAAGAUGUCUAAUCUCUGCAUUAUAUAUGCAUGUUCAUUUUUUAAUAAUAAACUUGAUGUAGCUUCAUUGAUAUAAAACUGUAAAUACAUUGUUUUGCUGAUGAGUAUGACGUAGUGGGGUCUUUUGGCUGGAUGUAAUUUGAAUUUGUACUGUGGUGGGGCUGUACAAGUCUUUGGUGGGAAAACUGAGUGAGAUAGGAGUACAACCACUUUCAGAAACAAAUCAGCUCCUGGUCCCUAUCAGUUAAUAUACCAGCAAAAAUGAAUGUGUUCUAUUUUCAAAAUAAGUGUUAGGCUGUAGUGGCUUCUGUGUGGAGUCUGCAUGUCCUCCCUGUGUUUGUGCGGGCUUCCUGUAGGUGCUCCAAUUUCCUCCACUCUCCAAACAUAUACAGUAGUUGGGCUGGACACUCUAAAUUGGCAAUAGGUGUGCAUGUAGUGUGGAAGAAAUAUUGCAGCAGGGCUAGACCUGAUGGUGUAAAUCUUGGCUAUAGAUAAUUGUCACUGGUGAAGUGACACCCCAACCCCAUGUACAAAAAUGGGUGAUGGGUGGAUCUUUAUAUCUUUUCUAAUAAAAAAUAAACCUAUUUUAACCCCAUUAUCCUUCAUUUUCUGUCUAUAAUAUGUCUUACAUACCGGUCUAACAUCUUUUUAAGCAGAUUCAUUUUGCUUCAGAUAUGGAAAUCUGUGUUUUUUAUUUUUCUUAUUUUGCCUUUUGUAAAAAAUCUACAAGGUGUAUUUGUAAAAUGUCUCUACAUUUUGUAGGUCACUGAAUGCUGAACCAACUUUUGUCUUCACAGUUACUCCAUUGUCAUGUUUUUUGUGUGUGGCAUUCAAAUUUAAAAUACACUACCUGGUUCAUUCUAAAUGUAUUCACAUUUAUUAAAUAUCAUUUUAAAGUGUUUUAUACUUUAUAUUGUAGAGAAAUAGUUUAUAAUAAUGGAAAAGUUUCUAUUUUUUAUGCUUAGUAACACUGUAUUUACUGUAUAAGGCUACUGUAUAUGAUUUUGCACGCGGUGAGGACAGUUUCAGUAAAUGUCACAGUAAUGAACACCACUGCUCUAAAUGCAAAUAUUUGAAUGAAUGCUUUAAAAUGGAACACACUUGUGGAGCUAAAAUAACCUGUUUAUUGAAAUAAAGUAUUUAAUCUUUCAGUUUAA